GAUGAACGCUAGCGGCAGGCUUAAUACAUGCAAGUCGUGGGGCAGCAUGGGUGUAGCAAUACAUCUGAUGGCGACCGGCAAACGGGUGCGGAACACGUACGCAACCUUCCUUUAAGUGGGGAAUAGCCCAGAGAAAUUUGGAUUAAUACCCCGUAAUAUUAUGAAGUGGCAUCACUUUAUAAUUAUAGCUUCGGCGCUUAAAGAUGGGCGUGCGGCUGAUUAGGUAGUUGGCGGGGUAACGGCCCACCAAGCCUUCGAUCAGUAACUGGUGUGAGAGCACGACCAGUCACACGGGCACUGAGACACGGGCCCGACUCCUACGGGAGGCAGCAGUAAGGAAUAUUGGUCAAUGGGCGCAAGCCUGAACCAGCCAUGCCGCGUGGAGGAUGAAGGCCCUCUGGGUUGUAAACUUCUUUUAUUUGGGAAGAAAUCCAUUUUUUCUAAGAUGGUUGACGGUACCAGAUGAAUAAGCACCGGCUAACUCCGUGCCAGCAGCCGCGGUAAUACGGAGGGUGCAAGCGUUAUCCGGAUUCACUGGGUUUAAAGGGUGCGUAGGUGGGCAGGUAAGUCAGUGGUGAAAUCUCCGGGCUUAACCCGGAAACUGCCGUUGAUACUAUCU
rnacentral:rRNA from 1 species